rnacentral:rRNA from 1 species
AUGAACGCUAGCUACAGGCUUAACACAUGCAAGUCGAGGGGCAGCAUGAACUUAGCUUGCUAAGUUUGAUGGCGACCGGCGCACGGGUGAGUAACACGUAUCCAACCUGCCGAUGACUCGGGGAUAGCCUUUCGAAAGAAAGAUUAAUACCCGAUGGCAUAGUUCUUCCGCAUGGUAGAACUAUUAAAGAAUUUCGGUCAUCGAUGGGGAUGCGUUCCAUUAGGUUGUUGGCGGGGUAACGGCCCACCAAGCCUUCGAUGGAUAGGGGUUCUGAGAGGAAGGUCCCCCACAUUGGAACUGAGACACGGUCCAAACUCCUACGGGAGGCAGCAGUGAGGAAUAUUGGUCAAUGGACGAGAGUCUGAACCAGCCAAGUAGCGUGAAGGAUGACUGCCCUAUGGGUUGUAAACUUCUUUUAUACGGGAAUAAAGUGAGGCACGUGUGCCUUUUUGUAUGUACCGUAUGAAUAAGGAUCGGCUAACUCCGUGCCAGCAGCCGCGGUAAUACGGAGGAUCCGAGCGUUAUCCGGAUUUAUUGGGUUUAAAGGGAGCGUAGGCGGACGCUUAAGUCAGUUGUGAAAGUUUGCGGCUCAACCGUAAAAUUGCAGUUGAUACUGGGUGUCUUGAGUACAGUAGAGGCAGGCGGAAUUCGUGGUGUAGCGGUGAAAUGCUUAGAUAUCACGAAGAACUCCGAUUGCGAAGGCAGCUUGCUGGACUGUAACUGACGCUGAUGCUCGAAAGUGUGGGUAUCAAACAGGAUUAGAUACCCUGGUAGUCCACACAGUAAACGAUGAAUACUCGCUGUUUGCGAUAUACAGUAAGCGGCCAAGCGAAAGCGUUAAGUAUUCCACCUGGGGAGUACGCCGGCAACGGUGAAACUCAAAGGAAUUGACGGGGGCCCGCACAAGCGGUGGAGCAUGUGGUUUAAUUCGAUGCAACGCGAAGAACCUUACCUGGUCUUGACAUCCACGGAAGUUUUCAGAGAUGAGAAUGUGCCUUCGGGAACCGUGAGACAGGUGCUGCAUGGCUGUCGUCAGCUCGUGUUGUGAAAUGUUGGGUUAAGUCCCGCAACGAGCGCAACCCUUAUCCUUUGUUGCCAGCGGUCCGGCCGGGAACUCAAAGGAGACUGCCAGUGAUAAACUGGAGGAAGGUGGGGAUGACGUCAAAUCAGCACGGCCCUUACGUCCGGGGCUACACACGUGUUACAAUGGGGGGUACAGAAGGCAGCUACACGGCGACGUGAUGCUAAUCCCGAAAGCCUCUCUCAGUUCGGAUUGGAGUCUGCAACCCGACUCCAUGAAGCUGGAUUCGCUAGUAAUCGCGCAUCAGCCACGGCGCGGUGAAUACGUUCCCGGGCCUUGUACACACCGCCCGUCAAGCCAUGAAAGCCGGGGGUACCUGAAGUGCGUAACCGCAAGGAGCGCCCUAGGGUAAAACUGGUGAUUGGGGCU